AAGCUUUCGCGGUAUGGGAUGGGGUCGCGUCCUAUCAGCUUGACGGCGGGGUAACGGCCCACCGUGGCUUCGACGGGUAGCCGGCCUGAGAGGGCGACCGGCCACAUUGGGACUGAGAUACGGCCCAGACUCCUACGGGAGGCAGCAGUGGGGAAUAUUGCACAAUGGGCGCAAGCCUGAUGCAGCGACGCCGCGUGAGGGAUGGAGGCCUUCGGGUUGUAAACCUCUUUUAUCGGGGAGCAAGCGAGAGUGAGUUUACCCGUUGAAUAAGUACCGGCUAACUACGUGCCAGCAGCCGCGGUAAUACGUAGGGUGCAAGCGUUAUCCGGAAUUAUUGGGCGUAAAGGGCUCGUAGGCGGUUCGUCGCGUCCGGUGUGAAAGUCCAUCGCUUAACGGUGGAUCCGCGCCGGGUACGGGCGGGCUUGAGUGCGGUAGGGGAGACUGGAAUUCCCGGUGUAACGGUGG
rnacentral:rRNA from 1 species